UAGGGAAUAUUGCACAAUGGGGGAAACCCUGAUGCAGCGACGCCGCGUGAGUGAUGAAGGCCUUCGGGUCGUAAAGCUCUGUCGUAUGGGACUAACACAAUGAAGGUACCAUGCAAGAAAGGAUCGGCUAACUUCGUGCCAGCAGCCGCGGUAAGACGAGGGAUCCUAGCGUUGUUCGGAAUUAUUGGGCGUAAAGCGGGUGUAGGCGGAUUUAUAAGUCAGGUGUGAAAUCCCAGGGCUCAACCCUGGAAGUGCACUUGAUACUGUAGAUCUUGAGUGUGGUAGAGGUUACUGGAAUUCCUGGUGUAGUGGUAAAAUACGUAGAUAUCAGGAGGAAUACCGGAGGCGAAGGCGAGUAACUGGGCCAACACUGACGCUGAGACCCGAAAGCGUGGGGAUCAAACAGGAUUAGAUACCCAGGUAGUCCCUGAG
rnacentral:rRNA from 1 species